GACGAACGCUGGCGGCGUGCUUAACACAUGCAAGUCGAACGGAAAGGCCCUGCUUUUGUGGGGUGCUCGAGUGGCGAACGGGUGAGUAACACGUGAGUAACCUGCCCUUGACUUUGGGAUAACUUCAGGAAACUGGGGCUAAUACCGGAUAGGAGCUCCUGCUGCAUGGUGGGGGUUGGAAAGUUUCGGCGGUUGGGGAUGGACUCGCGGCUUAUCAGUUUGUUGGUGGGGUAGUGGCUUACCAAGGCUUUGACGGGUAGCCGGCCUGAGAGGGUGGACGGCCACAUUGGGACUGAGACACGGCCCAGAGUCCUACGGGAGGCAGCAGUGGGGAAUAUUGCACAAUGGGAGGAAGCCUGAUGCAGCGACGCCGCGUGCGGGAUGACGGCCUUCGGGUUGUAAAAAGCUUUCGCCUUAGACGAAGCUUUUGUGACGGUAGUGGGAGAAGAAGCACCGGCUAACUACGUG
rnacentral:rRNA from 1 species